rnacentral:rRNA from 1 species
CCUACGGGAGGCAGCAGUGGGGAAUAUUGGGCAAUGGGCGCAAGCCUGACCCAGCAACGCCGCGUGAAGGAAGAAGGCUUUCGGGUUGUAAACUUCUUUUCUCAGGGACGAAGCAAGUGACGGUACCUUAGGAAUAAGCCACGGCUAACUACGUGCCAGCAGCCGCGGUAGUACUGAGGUGGCAAGCGUUAUCCGGAUUUACUGGGUGUAAGGGGCGUGUAGGCGGGACUGCAAGUCAGAUGUGAAACCCACGGGCUCAACCUGUGGCCUGCAUUUGAAACUGUAGUUCUUGAGUACUGGAGAGGCAGACGGAAUUCCUGGUGUAGCGGUGAAAUGCGUAGAUAUUAGGAGGAACACCAGUGGCGAAGGCGGUCUGCUGGACAGCAACUGACGCUGAGGCGCGAAAGCGUGGGGAGCAAACAGGAUUAGAUACCCCUGUAGUC